rnacentral:lncRNA from 1 species
UCCUCCUUUUAUGAAACGCCUCUGGGCAUUUGAAGACACUUUGCCCACCUCUUCAAAAUCUUCCUGGAGUUAAACAUCUCUGGUUAGUCUGGUUGUGAGCCCUCUAACAAGGUGUGCAAGACUUAGAUCAUGACAGCCUCCUCCUGUGGAUGAUGUGAACACAGGGUGCAGAAAUGAUGGUACUGGAUUAGCUGGACCCUUCUUCCUCGAAGCAGAUCAUCUGUGUGGAGCAGUGUUACCACACUGGACUGUCAAUUGAUGUAGACUUAGUGUUCUUGUGAUUGAUCAGCGCUCCCAAAUUCCGACUGGAAAGGCAUAUACCUUCCCUACACACUCUGGGGGAAGACAAGAGGUCCCCAAGUAUCACAUACAUAUUUGGAAGAGAUGAAGACUCAACAGGAUCUGACUGUGGAAAAUUAAGAGUAACUUCCAAACAGAAAACAUUCCUAUCUUCAAGUAAUUGGUGGAGUGAAGAAUAGAAAGCAGAGGGCACAAGCAAUGCCCCCACCCCUCUGAGGACAACAAUACAGGAUGACAAGGUGGUUGUCAAGUGUAGUAGGGGGAAAUAUGCAAACAGAUCCAGAUCAACCUGAGUCUUGUCUCUACCGACUAAAUUUUAUGAUGCUUGAAGACAAGGACGGUGCUUUAUAUGACUCCUUUAUUCCCAGAAAGACCUGUCCCUGUACUGCCCGUGUGGCACGUGCCUGAUACAAGCUCAUGGAGAGUUAAUUAAUACAGAUUCUUGGGGAUGUUCCAGGUGGAGUACAAGGUGUGUUUCACACCAACCUAUUAAGUGUCAAGCCCCCCACUGCACACUGUGUGCUCUUCCCUUAUUUCUCAUCUCAGCAGGUGCUCUUGUCUCAAGGACAUGACCCUAACUGUAUCAGUUAGGAUGCUUUUGGAUGCAAGGAACAGAAGAUUCCAAUGCACAGUUGGCUUCAACAAUAAGCGAAUCAAGAAGCAAUAUAAUCUAAAAGUGGAUACAGAUCAGCAGCCAGGUGAUACUCCUUAGAGACCUAGGAAUUUUCCAUUCUACUACGCAACCAUCUUGGAUGCUGGCCUGUCCUAUGGAUGAUAGCAAAAUGACACAUCAAUACCAGGCACUCAUGACAAAGUCCGCAGGAAGAAGAGGUACUAUCUCUCUCUGAGUUUCCUUCUUAGGAGAGCAUAAACCUUCCUGGCACCCCGCCUCCUCCACUGCACACAGGCUUUCCCUUGUAUCUCAUUAGCCAGGAGAGGACUACAUACACUUUACUUAACCAAUCACUGGGCACAAAUGACCCUUUUUCAAGUAUUGUGACUGCUCCUCCAGGCUCUGCAGGCUCUCCCAACAAAAUGGUGGUGGGGUGGGGGGAUAACUUUCCCUCUUCUGUAAAUCUAAUAAAGUAAUACAAAAA